GCUCUCCGUGGGGCAGCUCCCCGCUCUCUUGCAAAUUGUCCGGGUGCCCCGGGACAGAAUCUGGGAGCGUGAGGGCUGGGAGACAAGGGCGGGAGAGAGGUUUGAUUUUCACUGUUUAGUUCCUGGCAAAUGGUUGCGGUGCCGGAUGUGCCGACAGAAGAAAAAGCUCACAUCCGAAAAACAAAUUCUCCAUCUGCUAACUCAAGGGCUAUCAAAUGAACCAAGACCAGUGCUGGAUUGCAGGAGCUCCCAGCUAAAAGGAUGGAGACACGACAGGGACAUGGCCCUCCUGGGAGCUUGGCAGUCUCCUCUCCAAACCGACAGCACAGAGCUCAGAUGCACCUACAUGAGAGUUUAAUGCCCCCCUAUUCUUAAAACUGAAUUAAAGAUAAAUUAAAUUUUAUAUGCUUCCAGUUUGAAUAUUUUGCUAGUUUUCACUUAUGGAAUUUUCUACUGGGUCAGUGGUUCCUAACAGAACAAAAGUUUCCUCCUUGGUAUAAUGCAGGUAGAAUUCCUAUGUUC